rnacentral:rRNA from 1 species
UACAGGGGGGGCAAGCGUUGUUCGGAAUUACUGGGCGUAAAGGGUUCGUAGGUGGCUACCUAAGUCAGACGUGAAAUCUCCCAGCUUAACUGGGAGGGGUUAUGCCAGACUGCCAUUCUAGAGUGCGAGAGAGGAACGUGGAAUUCCGGGUGUAGUGGUGAAAUGCGUAGAGAUCCGGAGGAACCCCAGAGGCGAAGGCGGCGUUCUGGCUCGCAACUGACGCUCAGACACGACAGCAUGGGGAGCGAACGGG